GACAGAGGUGCCAAGCGUUAGGCGGAAUCACUGGGCUUAAAGCGUGUGUAGGCGGAAUGUCAAGUACCUUGUGAAAUCCCACGGCUCAACCGUGGAACUGCUUGGUAUACUGGGUGUCUUGAGCCAUCUAGGGGCUACCGGAACAAAUGGUGGAGCAGUGAAAUGCGUAGAUAUCAUUUGGAACGCCAAUGGUGAAAACAGGUAGCUGGGGAUGUGCUGACGCUGAGACACGAAAGCCAGGGGAGCAAACGGG
rnacentral:rRNA from 1 species